rnacentral:rRNA from 1 species
CGCGUAGGCGGCGGAUCAAGUCAGGGGUGAAAGGCCCGGGCUCAACCCGGGAACUGCCUUUGAAACUGAUCGGCUCGAGUUCGGGAGAGGAUGGCGGAAUUCCCAGUGUAGAGGUGAAAUUCGUAGAUAUUGGGAAGAACACCGGUGGCGAAGGCGGCCAUCUGGCCCGAGACUGACGCUGAGGCGCGAAAGCGUGGGGAGCAAACA